rnacentral:rRNA from 1 species
UGCUCAGGCGGACUAAUAAGUCGUGGGUGAAACUCUGCAGCUUAACUGCAGAACUGCCUAUGAUACUGUUAGUCUAGAGUGCGGGAGAGGGUAAUGGAAUUCUUGGUGUAGCGGUGAAAUGCGCAGAUAUCAAGAAGAACACCAGUUGCGAAGGCGGUUACCUGGCCCGAUACUGACGCUCAAGCACGAAAGCGUGGGGAGCAAACAGGAUUAGAUACCCUGGUAGUCCACGCCCUAAACUAUGGAUACUCGGUGUCGGAUCGUAAGAUUCGGUACCUACGCUAACGCAUUAAGUAUCCCACCUGGGAAGUACGAUCGCAAGGUUGAA